UACGUAGGUGGCAAGCGUUGUCCGGAUUUAUUGGGCGUAAAGCGCGCGCAGGCGGUCCGGUAAGUCCGCUGUGAAAGUCGGGGGCUCAACCCUCGAAUGCCGGUGGAUACUGUCGGGCUAGAGUGCGGAAGAGGCGAGUGGAAUUCCUGGUGUAGCGGUGAAAUGCGCAGAUAUCAGGAGGAACACCGGUGGCGAAGGCGGCUUCCUGGAUCACCCCUGACGCUGGAGACGCGAAAGCGUGGGGAGCGAACGGG
rnacentral:rRNA from 1 species